rnacentral:rRNA from 1 species
UACGGAGGGUGCAAGCGUUGCUCGGAAUCACUGGGCGUAAAGCGACCGCAGGCGGUCUGACAAGUCGGAUGUGAAAGCCCUGGGCUCAACUCAGGAAUUGCAUUCGAAACUGGCAGACUCGAGUACGGGAGAGGGGGGUGGAAUUCCUGGUGUAGGGGUGAAAUUCGUUGAUAUCAGGAGGAACACCGGCGGCGAAGGCGGCCCCCUGGCCCGCAACUGACGCUCAUGGUCGAAAGCGUGGGGAGCAAACAGG